GCCAGGCACAGUGGCACAUGUCUGUAGUCCCAGUUACUUAGAAGACAGAAGCAGGAGGGUCACUUGAGCCCAGAGGUUCUGGGCUUAGUGUACUAUGCCAAUGAGGUAUCCAUGCUAAGUUCAGCAUCAACAUAGGGGACCACCAGAGUGCCUAAGGAGGGGUGAACCAGUCCAGGUUGGAAACAGAGCAGGUCAAUACUUUCCUGCCGAUCAGUAGUAGGAUUGUACCUGUGAAUAGGCACUGCACUGCGCUCCAAACUGAGUAACAUAGCAAGACCCCAUCUCUA
ensembl:misc_RNA Metazoa_SRP Metazoan signal recognition particle RNA